AUCAUCUGCCAGCAUAGAAAGCCAAGUUGUUUCAUUGUAACUUUCAAAUGAAAUUUAGAAAUUUGACUGAAAACAAUUUUUUUCUUCCUGGGAAACUUACUAUUUGCCUGUUUAUUCCACCAACCUUUGAAAACGACCUCUUUUCCUAGAAGUGAGACUUUAACAACUAUGGUUCAAGCAUACCUUUUACAUCUUCAGGAAGAGAGAUUGACUUAAUCAUAUUUAACUCCCUUCCUGAGAAAGUAAUCAGAUUUUAUCAACUAUGAAAAAAUAAUGGAGUGCCCUUCCCCCAGGGACAGACUGAAACUCGGGUAGCUCUGAUGCCGUAAGUUGUUAAAGUUAGUUGCUGCUUAUCACUACCACCUGCUAGUUGUUUCAGACGCCUCACUGGAGAUUCUUUUAAAGGAGCAGUCUCAUUGAGUCAGUUGGGGUUUCACUAGAGUUUGCUUAGAUGCUAGCAACAGUAUAGAGCUUAAGAGUUCCAUCUUCUAACCAAAGUGCUCUUGAGCCAUGCUGUUCUGAGUGUGAAGGUGAUGAAGAAUUCAGCCAUAUAUAUCUAAUACCUCCUGUGGUUUAGGGAAGAACAAUAGAAUGAGGCUUUAUAGGGAAGAAAAAUCAUAUUUCCUUAUUUCCUAAGCACUUCCUGUGUACUCAGCAUUGUAGUAAUGCUAGUGCUGCUUUGUAUUUUCUAGGACAGUACUUUCCAACCUUUUUCACAUCAUGGUACACAGAGAAAAUUAUGAAAUUUGUCACAACACACUAGGGCAAGCAGAUGAAGCUGCUCUUGUCCAAAUGAGACUGCCAAGGAGCUCUAGCUAUUCCAGACCCUGUCCAGCCAUCCUUCAGGAUGAGGGGAUUAGAACAAAUGUGGAUGAGAACAGGAUGAGAACAAAUGUGCCUAGAUAUUUGUUGGAAUAUCUAGGUUGGAAUAUCUGAGGUUGGAAUCCUCAGCCAAAC
rnacentral:lncRNA from 1 species